rnacentral:rRNA from 1 species
GACUAACGCUGGCGGCGUGCUUAACACAUGCAAGUUGAACGGAGCAAGUUUGUAGCAAUAUGAGCUUGCUUAGUAGCGGACGGGUGAGUAACGCGUGAGCAAUCUGCCUUUGUGAGGGGGACAACAGCCGGAAACGGCUGCUAAUACCGCAUGAGACCACGACUCUGAGUGGAGUUGAGGUAAAAGAUUUAUCGCACAAAGAUGAGCUCGCGUCCCAUUAGCUAGUUGGUGAGGUAACGGCCCACCAAGGCGACGAUGGGUAGCCGACCUGAGAGGGUGAUCGGCCACACUGGAACUGAGACACGGUCCAGACUCCUACGGGAGGCAGCAGUGGGGAAUAUUGGGCAAUGGGCGCAAGCCUGACCCAGCAACGCCGCGUGAGGGAAGAAGGUCUUCGGAUUGUAAACCUCUGUCCUUGGGGACGAAAAAAAUGACGGUACCCAAGGAGGAAGCUCCGGCUAACUACGUGCCAGCAGCCGCGGUAAUACGUAGGGAGCGAGCGUUGUCCGGAAUUACUGGGCGUAAAGGGUGCGUAGGCGGCGAUGCAAGUCAGAUGUGAAAUCCCCGGGCUUAACUCGGGUUCUGCAUUUGAAACUGCAUUGCUUGAGUGCAGGAGAGGAAAGCGGAAUUCCUAGUGUAGCGGUGAAAUGCGUAGAUAUUAGGAAGAACACCAGUGGCGAAGGCGGCUUUCUGGACUGUAACUGACGCUGAGGCACGAAAGCGUGGGGAGCAAACAGGAUUAGAUACCCUGGUAGUCCACACUGUAAACGAUGGAUACUAGGUGUGGGGGAGAUACAACCUCUGUGCCGGAGCAAACGCAAUAAGUAUCCCGCCUGGGGAGUACGGUCGCAAGACUG